rnacentral:rRNA from 1 species
AGUGAACGCUGGCGGUAGGCCUAACACAUGCAAGUCGAACGGCAGCACAGUAAGAGCUUGCUCUUACGGGUGGCGAGUGGCGGACGGGAGAGGAAUACAUCGGAAUCUACUUUUUCGUGGGGGAUAACGUAGGGAAACUUACGCUAAUACCGCAUACGACCUACGGGUGAAAGCAGGGGAUCUUCGGACCUUGCGCGAUUGAAUGAGCCGAUGUCGGAUUAGCUAGUUGGCGGGGUAAAGGCCCACCAAGGCGACGAUCCGUAGCUGGUCUGAGAGGAUGAUCAGCCACACUGGAACUGAGACACGGUCCAGACUCCUACGGGAGGCAGCAGUGGGGAAUAUUGGACAAUGGGCGCAAGCCUGAUCCAGCCAUACCGCGUGUGUGAAGAAGGCCUUCGGGUUGUAAAGCCCUUUUGUUGGGAAAGAAAAGCAUCAGGUUAAUACCCCGCUGUUCUGACGGUACCCAAAGAAUAAGCACCGGCUAACUUCGUG